rnacentral:rRNA from 1 species
AACGAACGCUGGCGGCAUGCCUAACACAUGCAAGUCGAACGAGACCUUCGGGUCUAGUGGCGCACGGGUGCGUAACGCGUGGGAACCUGCCCUUAGGUUCGGAAUAACUCCCCGAAAGGGGUGUUAAUACCGGAUAAUGUCUUCGGACCAAAGAUUUAUCGCCUUUGGAUGGGCCCGCGUUGGAUUAGCUAGUUGGUAGGGUAAAAGCCUACCAAGGCGACGAUCCAUAGCUGGUCUGAGAGGAUGAUCAGCCACACUGGGACUGAGACACGGCUCAGACUCCUACGGGAGGCAGCAGUGGGGAAUAUUGGACAAUGGGCGAAAGCCUGAUCCAGCAAUGCCGCGUGAGUGAUGAAGGCCUUAGGGUUGUAAAGCUCUUUUACCCGGGAUGAUAAUGACAGUACCGGGAGAAUAAGCUCCGGCUAACUCCGUG